rfam:Pongo abelii chromosome 2b.
CAACAGGCUGUUUUCCUACAGCCACUAAUUAGUUAAAUAUAUAAAGAGU